rnacentral:rRNA from 1 species
CCUACGGGUGGCUGCAGUGGGGAAUAUUGCACAAUGGGCGCAAGCCUGAUGCAGCCAUGCCGCGUGUGUGAAGAAGGCCUUCGGGUUGUAAAGCACUUUCAGCGGGGAGGAAGGCGGUGAGGUUAAUAACCUCAUCGAUUGACGUUACCCGCAGAAGAAGCACCGGCUAACUCCGUGCCAGCAGCCGCGGUAAUACGGAGGGUGCAGGCGUUAAUCGGAAUUACUGGGCGUAAAGCGCACGCAGGCGGUCUGUCAAGUCGGAUGUGAAAUCCCCGGGCUCAACCUGGGAACUGCAUUCGAAACUGGCAGGCUAGAGUCUUGUAGAGGGGGGUAGAAUUCCAGGUGUAGCGGUGAAAUGCGUAGAGAUCUGGAGGAAUACCGGUGGCGAAGGCGGCCCCCUGGACAAAGACUGACGCUCAGGUGCGAAAGCAUGGGGAGCAAACAGGAUUAGAUACCCGUGUAGUC